GACGAACGCUGGCGGCGUGCUUAACACAUGCAAGUCGAACGGAAAGGCCCUGCUUUCAGGGUACUCGAGUGGCGAACGGGUGAGUAACACGUGGGAGAUCUGCCCUGCACUUCGGGAUAAGCCUGGUAAACUGGGUCUAAUACCUGAUAGGAGCCAUAUUUAGUGUGAUGGUUGGAAAGUUUUUUCGGUGUAUGAUGAGUUCGCGGCAUAUCAGCUUGUUGGUGGGGUAAUGUCCUACCGAGGCGGCGACGGGUAGCCGGCCUGAGGGGCUGGACAGCCACACUGGCUCUGAGAUAAGGCAGAGACAGCUAAGCGACGGCGAAGUGGGGAAUCUUGACGGAGCAGCGCCAGCCUGAUGAAGCGAGGCUGCGUGGGGGAUGACGGUCUUAGGGUUGUAAACUAAUUUUGUUAGGGACGAUGCUCGUCGUGACGGUACCUAGACAGGAAGCCCCGGCUAACUACGUG
rnacentral:rRNA from 1 species